rnacentral:rRNA from 1 species
UACGGAGGGUGCAAGCGUUAUCCGGAUUUACUGGGUUUAAAGGGUGUGUAGGCGGGCUAUUAAGUCAGCGGUGAAAUCUCCGGGCUCAACCUGGAAACUGCCAUUGAUACUAUUAGUCUUGAAUUCUGUUGAGGUGGGCGGAAUAAAUCAUGUAGCGGUGAAAUGCAUAGAUAUGAUUUAGAACACCAAUUGCGAAGGCAGCUCGCUAAACAGACAUUGACGCUGAGGCACGAAAGCGUGGGGAUCAAACAGGAUUAGAAACCCCUGUAGUCC